GAUGAAGAACGUAGCGAAGUGCGAUAAGUAAUGCGAAUUGCAGAAUUCAGUGAAUCAUCGAAUCUUUGAACGCACAUUGCGCCCGCCAGUAUUCUGGCGGGCAUGCCUGUCUGAGCGUCGUUUCGACCCUCGCGCCCGGCUUCUGUCGGGGGCGGUGUUGGGGAUCGGCCACACCCUUCAGUGGGAGGCCGGCCCCUAAAUUCAGUGGCGACCACGCUGUAGCCUCCCCUGCGUAGUACUAAAACCACCUCGCAGGCGGAGAGCGGUGCGGCCCGCCGUAAAACCCCCCAACUUUUACAAGGUCGACCUCAGAUCAGGUAGGAAUACCCGCUGAACUUAAGCAUAUCAAUAAGCGGAGGA
rnacentral:misc_RNA from 1 species